rnacentral:rRNA from 1 species
UCCAGACUCCUACGGGAGGCAGCAGUGGGGGAUAUUGCACAAUGGGGGGAACCCUGAUGCAGCGACGCCGCGUGGGUGAAGGAGCGUUUCGGCGCGUAAAGCCCUAUCGGCAGGGAAGAAGGAGGACGGUACCUGACUAAGAAGCCCCGGCUAACUACGUGCCAGCAGCCGCGGUAAUACGUAGGGGGCAAGCGUUAUCCGGAUUUACUGGGUGUAAAGGGGGCGCAGACGGCAGCGCAAGCCAGGAGUGAAAGCCCGGGGCCCAACCCCGGGACUGCUCUUGGAACUGCGCGGCUGGAGUGCAGGAGGGGCAGGCGGAAUUCCUGGUGUAGCGGUGAAAUGCGUAGAUAUCAGGAGGAACACCGGUGGCGAAGGCGGCCUGCUGGACUGCGACUGACGUUGAGGCCCGAAAGCGUGGGGAGCAAACAGGAUUAGAUACCCGUGUAGA